rnacentral:rRNA from 1 species
AUUGAACGCUGGCGGCAUGCUUUACACAUGCAAGUCGGACGAGUGGCGAACGGGUGAGUAACGCAUCGGAACGUACCGAGUAAUGGGGGAUAACUGACCGAACGGACAGCUAAUACCGCAAAUUGUACGAGCGGCCGCUGUCUGAUUAGCGGGUUGGCGGGGUAAAGGCGCACCAGGGCGACGCUGAGUAGCGGGUCUGAGGGGAUGAUCCGCCACACGGGGACUGAGACACGGCCCAGACUCCUACGUGAGGCAGCAGUGGGGAAUUUUGGACAAUGGGCGCAAGCCUGAGCCAGCCAUGCCGCGUGUCUGAAGAAGGCCUUCGGGUUGUAAAGGACUUUUGUCAGGGAAGCGGUACCUGAAGAAUAAGCACCGGCUAACUACGUGCCAGCAGCCGCGGUAAUAC